rnacentral:miRNA from 1 species
UCGUAUCGCACACGCUCAUCCCCGGUUCGAGAUGGCGGCGGCGGCGGCGGCGGCAGCGGCGGCGGGGG